rnacentral:rRNA from 1 species
UACGGCUCAGUAACACGUCGAUAAUCUGCCCUAAGGUUGAGGAUACCCACGGAAAACUGUGGCUAAUACUUAAUAGUGAAUGGAUUCUGGAACGAACCAUUUAUUAAACGCAAGGUCUUAGGAUGAGUCGGCGGCGGAUUAGGCAGUUGGCGGUGUAAUGGACCACCAAACCUUAGAUCCGUAGGGGCCCUGAGAGGGGUAGCCCCGAGAGGGACACUGAAAUACUGGUCCCAGCUCCACGGAGUGCAGCAGGCGCGAAACCUCCACAAUGCGCGAAAGCGUGAUGGGGGGAUCCCGAGUGCUUACAUUUUAUGUAAGCUUUUGCCAAGAGUUCACAUCUUGGAGAAUAAGUGGUGGGUAAGACCGGUGCCAGCAGCCGCGGUAAU